rnacentral:rRNA from 1 species
AACGAACGCUGGCGGCAGGCCUAACACAUGCAAGUCGAACGCCGUAGCAAUACGGAGUGGCAGACGGGUGAGUAACGCGUGGGAACAUGCCCUUCGGUUCGGAAUAACUCAGGGAAACUUGAGCUAAUACCGGAUACGUCCAAGGCUUGCCUUGGAGAAAGAUUUAUCGCCGGAGGAUUGGCCCGCGUCUGAUUAGCUAGUUGGUGGGGUAAUGGCUCACCAAGGCGACGAUCAGUAGCUGGUCUGAGAGGAUGAUCAGCCACAUUGGGACUGAGACACGGCCCAAACUCCUACGGGAGGCAGCAGUGGGGAAUAUUGGACAAUGGGCGCAAGCCUGAUCCAGCCAUGCCGCGUGAGUGAUGAAGGCCCUAGGGUUGUAAAGCUCUUUUGCCCGGGAAGAUAAUGACGGUACCGGGAGAAUAAGCCCCGGCUAACUUCGUGCCAGCCGCCGCGGUAAUAC